CGAAGCGAGCGAGGGAGAUGCACGGGAUUUUGUUGAAUACAACGUCAUCUUCAAUUCUAAAGAGAUUUCUAUAAUUUCCUUCGCAAUUCAGUUAGACCGUCAAUCAGUUAAAUUCUAAAACAGCGUUAUGCCGGCGACCCGGGGCGUAAAGCGGACGGCGUCCAAGAGUUCAGCCUCUGUUGCUUCUACGGGGCCAAAGAACAAGAAGAAACGCAAUGUAACACAACUGGAAGUACCAACGUUGCCGAAGAGACGCGGCCGUGUCUUAACUUGUGGACAGGGAGAUGUUGGACAACUCGGGCUUGGCGAGGAUGUUAUUGAGACCACCAGAUUCAAGCAUGUGACGGGCCUGGGGGAGAAGAUAGUGGACACCUGUGCCGGUGGCAUGCACACCGUUGCGUUGGACAGUGACGGAAAAGUAUGGACGUUCGGGUGCAACGACGAGGGAGCCCUGGGGCGGCCCACGUCCGGGGACUCCGACGAGGGCCGGCCGGGGGCGGUGGCGCUGCCCCGCGCCUGCGUCGCCAUCUCCGCCGGGGACUCGCACUCCGCCGCACUGCUCGACAACGGCGACGUGUACGCGUGGGGCGCCUUCCGGGACUCCCACGGCAGCAUGGGGCUGGUGGUCCGCGGGCGGGAGGGUAAACCGUGCCGGGAGCCCGUGGCGGUCCCGCUGCCCGACCCGGCCGCCGGGAUCGCCUCCGGGGGAGACCACCUUGUUAUACUUACCACUUCAGGGUCGGUAUACACGAUGGGUUGCGGCGAGCAAGGCCAACUUGGAAGGUUGUCGCAGAGGUCUGCCUCCCGGGAUACCCGACAGGGAUUCAGCGCGUUGCUAGUCCCAUCCAAAGUAACCCUAAAAGCGGGCGCGUCUCGCGUAUGGGCGGGCUACCACGCCACCUUCGUGCUAGACGCGAGCCAAGAAAAGAUGUUCGCCUGGGGGCUCAAUAACUACGGACAACUUGGUAUAACAGGCGAGAAGCGCAAGACAGCGCUGUACGCGCCCACCGCGUGCGACGCGUUCCCGGCGGGAGGCGGCUGGCGGCGGGUGGCGGCCGGCCAGCACCACUCGCUGGCGCUGGACGGCGCGGGGCUGGUGCACGCCAUAGGACGCGUGGAGUACGGCAGGCUCGGGCUGGGCGACCGGAGCGGUGACGCGGAGGUGUUGGAGCCGAUCCCCAAGCUGCAGAACAAGAAGUGUGUCAGCAUAGCCGCCGGGACGAGCAACUCGUUCGCUGUCACAGACACCGGGGAAAUCUACGCGUGGGGUAUGGGCAGCGAGGGACAACUGGGCACCGGCGGCAGUGCCGACGCCACGGAACCGACACUGGCUGUGUCCAGCGCCAUGCAAGGACACACCCCCAUACACGUCGCCGCGGGAGGACAACACACCGUGCUGCUUGUGGAGGACCCCAACGCGAAGAGAGAAGCGUCCCCAGCGCCGGAGAAAGAGACAGAAGAAGAGAAGAUAGAGGAGAAGUCCGAGGAGGAGCCAGAACCUGAACCUGAAAAGAAGCCGAAGGGCCGCGGGCACGCGCGCGGCCGCAAGCAGGAGCAGGAGGAGGAGGUGUCGUCGUCCACCAGCAGCGCACAUGCACAAGACGUGGCCGGGGACGCCGCGCCGCAGGCUAGGAAGAGGCGCACGACCCACAAAGCUGCGUCCAGCAAAAAGGCACGCCGGCAUUAGAAGGUGAAUGGGGACGAGAAGAAAGCAACGCCUAUGGAAAUCGAUGAAACUGACAACAAACAAGACAAAGACAAAAAGGAAGACAAAGAUACAGACGCGGACGCCAAAACAGAGUCUUCAAAAGAGGCCUCCAAACCGG
rnacentral:misc_RNA from 1 species